GCCCCACCACACCAGGCCCCUCUCCCACACUUCUUCCUUUCCUCAGCUUUGCGCCUACAGCUCCCUCAGUCCAGCCACCGAAAACAUCCCGUGCCGGAAGUGCGUCACGGACGCCCUGCGGCACCCUUCCCUGCAUUUCCGGGGCCUCUCUAGGCGCCUGAUGGGGUGAGGUGCAUCUCGCUGGUUUAUCGUCGGAGCCCCGCCCGACGCAGUGGGUCUUGACGGUUUCCUGCAGCCCAGGGAAAUACAGGCGUCCGAGCCGGUGGCCCGAGCUCCGGCAAGUGCGGGAACUUUCAGGAUUAAAUAGACAGAGUCUGGCUCUGUCGCCCAGGCUGGACUGCAGUGGCGCGAUUUCGGCUCACUGCAACUUCUGUCUCCCGGGUUCAAGCAGUUCUCCAGCUUCAGCCUCUCAAGUAUCUAGGACUACAGAUGCUGCAGUUUCACAGCAGUUCCUUCCUUCGCGCCUGUAAAACAGUGGCAACAGUAACUCUU